rnacentral:rRNA from 2 species
GGGAAACGCCCGGUCCCAUUCCGAACCCGGAAGCUAAGCCCUCCAGCGCCGAUGGUACUGCACUCGACAGGGUGUGGGAGAGUAGGACACCGCCGAAC